UACGUAGGGACCUAGCGUUGUCCGGAAUUAUUGGGCGUAAAGCGCGUGUAGGCGGCUUGCCAAGUCUGAUGUGAAAUCCCGGGGCUCAACCCCGGAACUGCAUUGGAAACUGGCUUGCUAGAGUCCGGAAGAGGAGAUUGGAAUUCCUGGUGUAGCGGUGAAAUGCGCAGAUAUCAGGAAGAACACCCGUGGCGAAGGCGGAUCUCUGGGACGGUACUGACGCUGAGACGCGAAAGCGUGGGGAG
rnacentral:rRNA from 1 species